rnacentral:rRNA from 1 species
UUGGAGGGCAAGUCUGGUGCCAGCAGCCGCGGUAAUUCCAGCUCCAAUAGCGUAUAUUAAAGUUGUUGCAGUUAAAAAGCUCGUAGUUGAAUCUCGGAAUCAGAGUGUCGGUCGUGCCCCGGUACGAACUGGUAUUAUUGGUUCCUACCUUCUGAAGAACCGCGAUGUCAUUAAUUUGGUGUCGUGGGGAAUCAGGACUGUUACUUCGAAAAAAUUAGAGUGUUUAAAGCAGGCUUACGCUUGAAUACAUUAGCAUGGAAUAAUGAAAUAGGACGUUUGAUUCUAUUUUGUUGGUUUCUAGGAUUGACGUAAUGAUUAAUAGGGAUAGUUGGGGGCAUUAGUAUUCAAUUGUCAGAGGUGAAAUUCUUGGAUUUAUUGAAGACUAACUACUGCGAAAGCAUUUGCCAAGGAUGUUUUCAUUAAUCAAGAACGAAAGUUAGGGGAUCGAAGACGAUCAGAUACCGUCGUAGUCUUAACCAUAGACUAUGCCGACUAGGGAUCGGAUGAUGUUAAUUUUUUAAUGACUCAUUCGGCGCCUUACGGGAAACCAAAGUGUUUGGGUUC